UACGAAGGGGGGCUAGCGUUGCUCGGAAUGACUGGGCGUAAAGGGCGCGCAGGCGGCAGACCAAGUCAGGCGUGAAAGCCCCGGGCUUAACCUGGGAGGUGCGUCUGGGACUGGUAUGCUAGAGUUCGGGAGAGGAGAGUGGAAUUCCCCAGUGUAGAGGUGAAAAUUCGUAGAUAUUGGGAAGAACACCGGUGGCGAAGGCGGCUCUCUGGACCGAGACUGACGCUGAGGCGCGAAAAGCGUGGGGAGCAAACAGG
rnacentral:rRNA from 1 species